UGGAGGGGGAUAACACUUGGAAACAGGUGCUAAUACCGCAUAACAGUUUAUGCCGCAUGGCAUAAGAGUGAAAGGCGCUUUCGGGUGUCGCUGAUGGAUGGACCCGCGGUGCAUUAGCUAGUUGGUGAGGUAACGGCUCACCAAGGCCACGAUGCAUAGCCGACCUGAGAGGGUGAUCGGCCACACUGGGACUGAGACACGGCCCAG
rnacentral:rRNA from 1 species